rnacentral:lncRNA from 1 species
UCUAAUUAUCUGAAUCAGAAGAGUUCUGGUCCAUCGAAAGGAGUUUCGAUGAUGUCGAUGAUGAGAUCACGACAUGUCUCAUUACCAUAUGAAAUUGAACCUAACUAAAUCACACAAAGAAGGAUUAGGAUCUGGAUGUCAUCAAUUGGGCUAGCCCAAUUGAUUUGGAUUAGAUCCAAUUAGGUUCAAGAAAAUCGUGCUAGCACUCGAUUGAGCCUA